GGACGUAAGGGGGACCUGGCUGCGACAACUGUCGCCCCAUUGAUCGCCGGGGUCGAUUCGGCUGAUCUGGCUGGCGCGGCGGGUGUCCUCUCUCCUUCAGCGCUCCAUGUGCGUCCUUCCCGAAGCCGCCCUCAGCCGAGGGAGGGCCCCCGCAGUAGAGGAGAGCGCUCCUCGGUCGAGGGCCCAUGAGUAGCUGUGCUUCCCUGCUAAAACUUCCAAACAACUCCCAAGUAAGUGAGGAAGAAAUGAAGUUCGCAACUCAGGAGAACAGAGAAAGAGGGGAUGUCUUACUCACUUUCUUU
rnacentral:snRNA from 1 species